CAAAGUUUUGAUCAGCAAUUCAGAGGGAAAUCCUAUAUUAAGUGCUAUUGGCCACAUUUCAUGAAAAGUUCAACACAGUAGGGAGUGGCCGCAGGGCCCAGCUGGAAGAACCUCACUUUGUUGACACCUGGCCUGAUAGUCAUUUCCUUAGUGACCAGCCCUUCUGAGAACAGAUCUCUGAGCUGGUGUGUUAAGUUGGGGUUCUGUGGUAACACUGACAACUGGAUCCUCUGGAAGGAAUGUCCAAGAAGUGGUGAGAAAAUUUCCAACAGGUGUUGAGGCAGCUCUAGGUGGGGAGUUAAGUUGGAGAGAAGGCUUUCGAGGGGCUUAGAAUCUUCCUUCUCCCAAGUCAGGAGAACGAAAUGACUGCUUCCUGAGGUUGAAAUCCCAACCUCCAAUGAGAUGGUAUUAGGAAGUAGUAUCUUUGGGGAAUUGAGCAGAUCAUGACAUUGGAGCUGUCAUUACAGGAUUAGUAACUUAUAAGAAAAAGUCAUCUCUCUUGACCAUGUGAAGAGUCAACCAGAAGACAGCCAUCUGCACACUUGGAAGCUGGCAUUCACCAGAUACCAGACUAUGCAGCCCUUUGAUAUUGGACUUGCCAACCUCUAGAACUAUAAGAAAUAAGUGCUCAUUGCUUCGGACACCCAGGCUGUUGUAGCAGUCUGAACUGAAAAUAACACUAGGAAUUGGCUUCAGGAGUUGAAUGCUGUCUACAGCAUGCAGCUGGAACUGCAUCUCCAAGUGAAGUUUAGCACAGAAGUCCAAGUUCCAUGAGCUCUAGACAGUUCGCAUGGCUGUUCUCACCAGCAGGAUCUGAUUUUCCCGAAGCAGUGACUUCCUAGGAGCCUUCAGAGAAAAGGGAGCAGAAAACCAAAACUCAUACCUAUACCCAAAUCAUGAUCUAAAGUUGUAUUCUUCAUAUGUUGACAUGCUUAUUGACUGCCUCCUCCAUUAAAAUGGAUUUUCUUUCAUGAGGACAAAAGACUGUUGUGUUCACCAGUGAAGCUCCUCUUCACAGAAUACUACCCACUUAAUGGAACUACUUUGGCAUGAAGAAAGACAUUAAUUAUUGCAUGGUAAAUGAGGUUACUUGGAAGAAAACAGACUUGCUAUCUACCUUGCUCCUGCUCUACUGAUCUG
ensembl:lncRNA